UAGUAGCUUAGUAACAUACAACUAUUAACAUACAAUAAAUUUCCGACGAAACUUAUGCUGGAUCCCUGAGUUUUUUUCUCGGUUUUUCACAUAAAAAAUAUGAGAACCAACCAUACAUUUCAUAGAAAUGAUGAAAUGAGAGCACGCAUGCAAAACCGGCCGACGAGCUAGGAGGAGCCCUGCAACACAAGGGGAACAGAAGAAUUAGAGCGCCCACCAGAGCAACUAUAUAUAUAUAU
rnacentral:lncRNA from 1 species